CGGAGGGUGCAAGCGUUAUCCGGAUUCACUGGGUUUAAAGGGUGCGUAGGUGGGCAGGUAAGUCAGUGGUGAAAUCUCCGAGCUUAACUCGGAAACUGCCGUUGAUACUAUUUGUCUUGAAUAUUGUGGAGGUAAGCGGAAUAUGUCAUGUAGCGGUGAAAUGCUUAGAUAUGACAUAGAACACCAAUUGCGAAGGCAGCUUACUACACAACGAUUGACGCUGAGGCACGAAAGCGUGGGGAUCAAACAGG
rnacentral:rRNA from 1 species